rnacentral:rRNA from 1 species
GAACCAGUACCGUGAGGGAAAGGCGAAAAGAACCCCGGCGAGGGGAGUGAAAAAGAACCUGAAACCGUGUACGUACAAGCAGUGGGAGCCCCACCACUAAGCCAGUGGUGAGUUCCACAUACGCAUCCUUUGCUGAAGGUGCGGUUAACGGAGCGCAAGCGACGUUCAACCUCAAAAGAAGCAGAGGGGGCUUAGUGGUGGGGUGACUGCGUACCUUUUGUAUAAUGGGUCAGCGACUUAUAUUCUGUAGCAAGGUUAACCGUAUAGGGGAGCCGUAGGGAAACCGAGUCUUAACCGGGCGUUAAGU